rnacentral:sRNA from 1 species
AAAAACAAGAUACCAUAUUUUCAAUUAAUUGGCAGAACUACAUAGGAAACAAAUCCGAAAUUGAAGAGUUUACAUAGAAGAAAAAA